rnacentral:rRNA from 1 species
UAUGGAGGGCGCAAGCGUUGUUCGGAAUCACUGGGCGUAAAGCGCGUGUAGGCGGCUUGGAAAGUCGGGUGUGAAAGCCCGGAGCCCAACUCCGGGACUGCAUUCGAAACUACCUCGCUCCAGUCCCGGAGAGGGUGGUUGAAUUCCCGGUGUAGAGGUGAAAUUCGUAGAUAUCGGGAGGAACACCAGUGGUGAAGGCGGCCAACUGGACGGUGACUGACGCUGAGACGCCAAAGCGUGGGGAGCAAACAGG